rnacentral:rRNA from 1 species
GAUGAACGCUGGCGGCGCGCCUAACACAUGCAAGUCGAACGGCACCUGCCCUCGGGCAGAAGCGAGUGGCGAACGGCUGAGUAACACGCGGAGAACCUGCCCCCUCCCCCGGGAUAGCCGCCCGAAAGGACGGGUAAUACCGGAUUACCCCGGGGUGCCGCAUGGCACCCCGGCUAAAGCCCCGACGGGAGGGGAUGGCUCCGCGGCCCAUCAGGUAGACGGCGGGGUGACGGCCCACCGUGCCGACAACGGGUAGCCGGGUUGAGAGACCGACCGGCCAGAUUGGGACUGAGACACGGCCCAGACUCCUACGGGAGGCAGCAGUGGGGAAUCUUGCGCAAUGGGGGGAACCCUGACGCAGCGACGCCGCGUGCGGGACGGAGGCCUUCGGGUCGUAAACCGCUUUCAGCAGGGAAGAGUCAAGACUGUACCUGCAGAAGAAGCCCCGGCUAACUACGUGCCAGCAGCCGCGGUAAUACGUAGGGGGCGAGCGUUAUCCGGAUUCAUUGGGCGUAAAGCGCGCGUAGGCGGCCCGGCAGGCCGGGGUCGAAGCGGGGGCUCAACCCCCCGGAAGCCCCCCGGAACCUCCGCGGCUGGGGUCCGGUAGGGGAGGGUGGAACACCCGGUGUAGCGGUGGAAUGCGCAGAUAUCGGGUGGAACACCGGUGGCGAAGGCGGCCCUCUGGGCCGAGACCGACGCUGAGGCGCGAAAGCUGGGGGAGCGAACAGGAUUAGAUACCCUGGUGGUCCCAGCCGUAAACGAUGGACGCUAGGUGUGGGGGGACGAUCCCCCCCGUGCCGCAGCCAACGCAUUAAGCGUCCCGCCUGGGGAGUACGGCCGCAAGGCUAAAACUCAAAGGAAUUGACGGGGGCCCGCACAAGCAGCGGAGCAUGUGGCUUAAUUCGAAGCAACGCGAAGAACCUUACCAGGGCUUGACAUAUGGGUGAAGCGGGGGAGACCCCGUGGCCGAGAGGAGCCCAUACAGGUGGUGCAUGGCUGUCGUCAGCUCGUGUCGUGAGAUGUUGGGUUAAGUCCCGCAACGAGCGCAACCCCCGCCGCGUGUUGCCAUCGGGUGAUGCCGGGAACCCACGCGGGACCGCCGCCGUCAAGGCGGAGGAGGGCGGGGACGACGUCAAGUCAUCAUGCCCCUUAUGCCCUGGGCUGCACACGUGCUACAAUGGCCGGUACAGAGGGAUGCCACCCCGCGAGGGGGAGCGGAUCCCGGAAAGCCGGCCCCAGUUCGGAUUGGGGGCUGCAACCCGCCCCCAUGAAGUCGGAGUUGCUAGUAAUCGCGGAAUCAGCAUGCCGCGGUGAAAUGCGUUCCCGGGCCU